AUUGAACGCUGGCGGCAUGAUUUACACAUGCAAGUCGAACGGUAACAGGCCGCAAGGUGCUGACGAGUGGCGAACGGGUGAGUAAUGCAUCGGAACGUGCCCAGUCGUGGGGGAUAACUACUCGAAAGAGUAGCUAAUACCGCAUACGAUCUAUGGAUGAAAGCGGGGGACCGUAAGGCCUCGCGCGAUUGGAGCGGCCGAUGUCAGAUUAGGUAGUUGGUGGGGUAAAGGCUCACCAAGCCAACGAUCCGUAGCUGGUCUGAGAGGACGACCAGCCACACUGGGACUGAGACACGGCCCAGACUCCUACGGGAGGCAGCAGUGGGGAAUUUUGGACAAUGGGCGCAAGCCUGAUCCAGCAAUGCCGCGUGCAGGAAGAAGGCCUUCGGGUUGUAAACUGCUUUUGUACGGAACGAAACGGCUCUGGUUAAUACCCGGGGCUAAUGACGGUACCGUAAGAAUAAGCACCGGCUAACUACGUG
rnacentral:rRNA from 1 species